AUAAGGAGGAUGCAAGCGUUAUCCGGAUUUAUUGGGUUUAAAGGGUGCGUAGGCGGAUGAUUAAGCGUGAGGUGAAAUGCCACUGCUCAACAGUGGAACUGCCUCGCGAACUGGUUGUCUUGAAUGCUCCUGCCGUGGGAGGAAUGUGUGGUGUAGCGGUGAAAUGCAUAGAGAUCACACAGAACUCCGAUUGCGAAGGCAGUCCGCUGGGGCACGUCUGACGCUGAUGCUCGAAGGUGCGGGAAUCAAACAGGAUUAGAUACCCUGGUAGUCCGCACGGUAAACGAUGAUUACCCGCUGUCGGCGGUAGACAGUCGGCGGCCAAGCGAAAGCGAUAAGUAAUCCACCUGGGGAGUACGCCGGCAACGGUGAAACUUAAAGGAAUUGACGGGG
rnacentral:rRNA from 1 species